AUGCCGCAAAAUAUCAUAGACCCUCCACCGCCCGAAAACCAUCAUCUUGCUGGAAUGCCCACAAAUCUUUUAUACAACGGCUCUCGAUUCAACGGACAUCAAAAAAGCAAAGGCAAUUCAUACGAUGUUGAAGUGGUUUUACAGUAUGUUGAUCUAAAGAAUGCUUACCUAUGUGGCUAUCUGAAAAUCAAAGGGCUUACAGAAGAAUAUCCAAUACUUACAACAUUUUUCGACGGUGAAAUCAUCAGUGAAAAGCAUCCAUUUUUAACUCGUAAGUGGGAUGCUGAUGAAGAUGUGGACAGGAAACACUGGGGGAAAUUUUUAUCAUUUUUUAAAUUAGCAAAAAGUUUUAAUUCCGACACAUUUGACUAUGAUGAACUUCAAAAGACAGAUUGUGUAUUUAUGCGGUGGAAGGAACACUUCUUAGUGCCAAACCACAAGAUUACAGACAUAAAUGGAGCAUCAUUUGCUGGAUUUUACUACAUCUGCUUCUGGAAAUCUAAUUCUACCAUUGAAGGUUAUUAUUAUCACCGAAGUUCUGAAUGGUACCAGUCCUUAAAACUGGAACACGUCAGUGAACAGAGCGCCCCUGUCUAUGCAUUCCGAUGACAAGUGUGAGUUCUCAGUGUGGGCAUAGUGCGUAUGUGUCUAACUGCUUGCCUAAUUGCCUGUGAAACCUAAACCAUCAGCAUAUACCUGCCAAGCCCUUCUAUUCCAUGCAAGCCUUUUUAUCAACUUCCAGUUCAUUGAGUCUUGGUGGUUUCCAGGAAAUUAGGAUCUUCUGUGCAUCAUUAGACAGCAUUAGUGUCAUUUCUUUGUCUUUAUAUCCUGUAGAGUUAGGUCCUAACUAUGGUCAUGGGGUGUUACAGAGUAAGAUGUCACUCAGUUACUUUGCAAUCACAUGGCCUUGAGUUCAAUCCCACUCCAAAACCUUGUGAAUGGAUGAUUUGAUAAGCAGAAACUGGAAGCAGUCCAUCAUAUAAAACUGCAAUUGGGAACCGGCCGUCAUUGAAUAGUCUGUGAAGACCUUUGGUGAACAUGUCAGUCUAUAUAUUUGAAUAUAUAUAUACAGCCUGCUGUGCUCCCUCUCUUUUUUUCCCUCCCUAUCCGCCACUCUUUACUACUCGAAAACUGGUGAUGACAGUCCUGCUUCCGGAGACUGGAAGGAGCAUACACACAUAUACACACACCUGCAAUUUUAGGCAAACUUCCUGUGGACAUUGGAGUUUUGUGACUGGCUAGUUGGCUGGUUGUCACUCUGUACCCUUAAUGUCUUCCCUUUUCUCACUCUGUACACAUUUACAUAAAUGUACACACACAUACAAACAUAUAUAUAUAUAUAUAUAUAUAUAUAUAUAUAUAUAUAUAUAUAUAUAUAUAUAUAUAUAUAUAAUCCUCCCCAGCUCUCCAUUCUGUGAAUUAACCCUAGCUGCUGAUUUUAACACCCAAAACCAUUUUUAUACUGUGACAUUUGCUUGACUUCUUUUGCAAAAAUGUUCGUCUUUGUUAAUUAUUAUUUGCAAGGCAUGAAUGUCACUCGGUCUCAUUCCUCCCCGACUCUCCUUUAUCCAAAGCAUUUUCUACACAAGUAAGAAAUUAUUUAUGAUCAAACACAUGCUCUCUCUUUGUUGCACACACAUAUGAAAUAUCUCUCACAUAUGAAAUAUCUCUCACAUACACGCACAUACAAUCUCUCAUGCAUUCACACACAUAUACAAGCUCUCUUACAUACAUACACACACACAUAUACAAUCUCCCUUACACACACAUAUACAAUCUCAUAUACAUAAACAUGCAAUCUCUGUCAUAUACACAUAUAUACUAUUUCUCUAACAUACACAUACACAUACAUACAUUCACUAUCCCUUUUGUAGUUACAAAUACACACAUAAAUCCUUUGUGUCUACAUACUAAACACACAGGUAACAAAUCAAAAUUUCUACUGUUAUAUACACAGUUGUAAAAGACAAUUUCUGCUAAUUUUGUUCCUGCUUCUUUUCCUCUUACUUGUGUUCAUAUUUUGAUUCAGUUUUGGUUUACAGAGUGGGAGAGAAAUAGCUUAGAUUUUUUUUCGUUUUAUUUAGAAUCGCAGUUAAUGGGAUGAAAUUUUAACCUUUUAUUGUUUACAUUCUGUUUUUAAGAUUUAAGUCAGAGGAAAAUCUCAAAUUCUUAUAGGGCUGGAGAUUCUUAACUGUUUGUGGGGUAGGGGAAAGAGUUACCAUGGAGCUUCUUUGAUUUACUGAAUAUUUUCAUAAACCACCACUUGAGCAUAGAAAUCAAUGAACUUACAUCCAAAAUGAAAUGAAACUAAUUCAGUUAAACAUCAAAUUAUGCAAACAAUUAACAAAACAAUUAACCCUUUGCCUAUCCAAAGCAUUUUCAUAAGUUUGUUCUAAAUGUCCAUGCUUGAUUUCAGACUUUUAGUUAGCCCUUAUUUCACACAUUCUAAGUAAUAUAAAGCUUUCCUUUCAUAAAUCCUGAGUUAUUCUGGUGGUUUAAAAGAAGUUGGGGAUGUGUAUCAUAUACGAUGCAUGGAUUCCAGGGAAAUAUGUCUUGUGUGUCACACGUGAGAUACAGGUCAGGCAAAGGGUUAAAAUAUGCAAAUGCGUAAAUACAUACCGACAAACUCUAAUAUUUAACACUACUGUAAUAUGUGGUAGAUGGUUUUUGUCAAGGACCAUUUAUGGUCCAGAGGUCACCCCGUUUGGAAGCACUGUUAUAGGAAAUUGUGAAAUGUCCUUUAUUUAUUAGUUGCUGAGAGAUGUUAGAUAUUAAAUGAUUUUGAUAGGAAGUUGCCUAAAGAAGCUGGUGGGAAAAGCUCUUCAGGAGAUUUUAGGCAAGCCAUUUUUGGAUGAUUCUUAUUAUGCAGGAUCAUAUUUUUUUUUUUUUUUUAAUGAUAUUCAUCCUUUUCAUUAAUAUUAAUUUAUUUUCGUGCUAAGGUUAUUUUAAAUAAUACAUUUAUUUGUAUACAUUAAAUGUAAAUGUUGACAUAGAUACAAUUUAAACAGAAAAUGGUAGGGACAAGUUGAACAUCAAGUGGAACCUUGUUUUGUUUGAAGUUCUUUGUUGUUUUGGGUUGUUUUUUUAAGUGAGGUGCAGUAACACAAUAUCUAUCUAUAUCCAUGUUUACAUUUAGUAAUCUACAAAUUAGAUUAUUCAUUUUUAUUGAAAUGAUGUUGGAUUAUUUAACCAUUUCACAUUACCCUCUCCUAACACAAAACAUUUGUUCCCCAAACUACCUUCUCCUCUCCUAGUUCCAGUUAUAUGGUAAAUAGUGAGGAAAAAAUUAUCAUGGCAGAUACAAAAAAUAAUAAUGAAUUUAUUAAUAGUAAUAAAUUGUAUUGUUUUACAA